AUUGAACGCUGGCGGCAUGCCUUACACAUGCAAGUCGAACGGCAGCACGGGGCAACCUGGUGGCGAGUGGCGAACGGGUGAGUAAUGCAUCGGAACGUACCUUUCAGUGGGGGAUAACGUAGCGAAAGUUACGCUAAUACCGCAUAUUCUGUGAGCAGGAAAGCAGGGGAGCGCAGGACCUUGCGCUGAUUGAGCGGCCGAUGUCAGAUUAGCUAGGUGGUGAGGUAAAGGCUCACCAAGGCGACGUUCUGUAGCGGGUCUGAGAGGAUGAUCCGCCACACUGGAACUGAGACACGGUCCAGACUCCUACGGGAGGCAGCAGUGGGGAAUUUUGGACAAUGGGGGCAACCCUGAUCCAGCCAUGCCGCGUGAGUGAAGAAGGCCUUCGGGUUGUAAAGCUCUUUCGGCCGGGAAGAAAUCGCACGGGCUAAUACCCUGUGUGGAUGACGGUACCGGAAUAAGAAGCACCGGCUAACUACGUGCCAGCAGCCGCCGUAACAC
rnacentral:rRNA from 1 species